CAUUUUGCCCCAUUAUCGCACUGACUGUUUGUCCGUUCGCAUUCAAAUCACCGAAUCUCAGCACGAAAUCGUGUAAAUAACAUUUAUCGUAUAAUAUAAAUCGUAACACAUACUGCCGCCGUCGCUGCCGUUUCGUGUCUUUCGUAUAGCUAUUGUAACCAACGAUAUUAACAUUAAAUAAAAUGCGUUUCGCGAGUUGCGCCGUAUUGGCCGUGUUGCCGUUCUGCUUACAUGCCGCCGUCGUCGUGUCCGCCGACAACAACUACCUGGAAGACUCACCACCGCCGCCACCAACUGUAAGCGGAAACUGGGCAUUGGUCACUAGGAUAGCCGAUGAGUGUGCUAAGGAUGCGGAUACAGCAGCUUGCGUGGCUGCCAAAACAGCAGCUGCCCUCGAAAGGGCAGCCCGUACUGCCGGUUCCGUGCAAGUUUUUCCAGGUCUGACUGUACUUAAGAACGCCGACGAAGGAUCUUCAUCGCAGAGGGACUCGCGCGCCCUACCCACUGAAGAAGAGCUCCGCGGACAGAUGCAACAGCAACCUUCCAGAGUCACCGACAUGGUCAUCAACUCAGCCAUCAGAUUCCUCCAAUCCAGAACCCUACAGUUCAAGUUACCACAAAACAACCCAGAAGAGCUGUCCCGGGCUAUUGAAGAAGGCCGUGGAAAGCUCAAGAAGAAGGAUGUUGCCCAUCCUAGGAUUCCUAGCUGUCAAGAUCGUCGCCGUGUUGCCCAUUCUUUUGGGAAUCAUCGGAUUCUUUGCACUCAAGGCGUUGGUAUUCGGCAAAUUGGCCCUGCUCAUCGCUGGCGUGAUGGCUUUCCAGAAGUAUGCUAGCGCAUCCGGUGGCUUCGGUAAGAUCGCAGACACAUGGAGCGCCGGAAACGUUCAAGCUACCCCAUGGGCCGCAUCCGCCGCCCCCAGUGCCAACGGUGGUGGAUACUACAGACGUAGCAUGCAAGAAGCUCAACAGAUGGCAUACAACGGACAAGUACAACCGUCCGCCCAGACCAUCGCGUAGACUACCAAUAUAAAAAUGUAAUAUCAUUUUAACGUCACCGUAAAUUGCAGUAACUCCAAAAUUUUUUUUCUUUCUCUCAAUCGAACCGAUGAGUUUUAAUAUUAUUUAUAACGACUAUAUACGCAUAAUUGUGUAAGCCUUAUUAUUAUUAUUAUUUUUUUUUUUUAUAUAAUUUUUUUGUAGUCUCGUGCAACGGUUAUUAGAUAUAAAUCGGAUGGUGUGACAUCUGCAUGUUAUAAUUAUAAUAUUAUUUAUGCGAACGUAUUUUUCGUCGCUAGUCGACAUACACCGUGUAUGCUGACUCGCGACGUAAAUACGCUCGUAACACUCGGUAUUAGAUUAUUGUUGCUUUCCGAUAGCCGAGUAACUUUUUGCCAUAUUAGUCUUUAGUUUCCACAAAAAAAGACUUAUCUAAAAUCCUAUACUUACCACGAAAAAGGCAUCUGACAAAAAGUUACCGGCUCGUGUUUGGCCAAUGUGGCUGAUUUUUUACAAACACAAAAAUAAUUAGAUUAUUACCUGUAAACUCUAAGAGUUAAUAUAAUAAUAAUAUGAUAAAUUAUUUUUUUUUUAAGUUUGAAUAAGUCAUUGAUUUAAUAAACAUAAUAUCAUUAUAAUACAUAGAAUUACGAUUCAUGCCAAAAUUUAAACAAAAAUGUGUCAUUGUAAAUAUUAAAUACGCAUUUGAUAAUAAUAAUAAUAUAAUAUAUGUAAUCAAUUACUGAGU